AAACUCAAAGGAAUUGACGGGGGCCCGCGCAAGCGGCGGAGCAUGCGGAUUAAUUCGAUGCAACGCGAAGAACCUUACCAAGGCUUGACAUACACCUGACGCAGCCAGAGAUGGUUGUUCCGUAAGGCGGGYGUACAGGUGGUGCAUGGUUGUCGUCAGCUCGUGUCGUGAGCUGUUGGGUUAAGUCCCGCAACGAGCGCAACCCUUGUCUCGUGUUGCCAGCGGGUUAUGCCGGGGACUCAUGAGAGACUGCCGGGGUCAACUCGGAGGAAGGUGGGGAUGACGUCAAAUCAUCAUGCCCCUUAUGUCUUGGGCUUCACGCAUGCUACAAUGACCGGUACAGAGGGUUGCGAUCCCGUGAGGGGGAGCGAAUCCCAAAAAGCCGGUCUCAGUUCGGAUUGGGGUCUGCAACUCGACCCCAUGAAGUCGGAGUCGCUAGUAAUCGCAGAUCAGCAACGCUGCGGUGAAUACGUUCUCGGGCCUUGUACACACCGCCCGU
rnacentral:rRNA from 1 species